UACGGAGGGGGCUAGCGUUGCUCGGAAUCACUGGGCGUAAAGCGCACGUAGGCGGCUUUUUAAGUCAGGGGUGAAAUCCUGGAGCUCAACUCCAGAACUGCCUUUGAUACUGAAGAUCUUGAGUUCGGGAGAGGUGAGUGGAACUGCGAGUGUAGAGGUGAAAUUCGUAGAUAUUCGCAAGAACACCAGUGGCGAAGGCGGCUCACUGGCCCGGUACUGACGCUGAGGCGCGAAAGCUAGGGGAGCAAACGGG
rnacentral:rRNA from 1 species